AGAUGGAGCUUGUACAAUAAUAGGGCAAGCUCUAGAAGAUGUCAAGAAGAGUUCAAUCAAGCUUCAGAGGUGUUCUGAAGUAGUUAUCUUGUGAAGAUAAGUCUAAGAAAGACUUAGACUGAUCAUGUGAAGGCUUUGGAGGAGUUAGAGAGAAGAUGGUCCAAGGUGCAAUUAUAGGGCGGCCUUGUACGGCCUGGUACGGCCAAGGGUGAACCAAAAGAGAUGGUGGAUCGACCAAAGAAGUGAGAAAGAGUGUUGGGCAAAUAUAGGGCGAGUGGUACGGACAGGAGGUCCGUACCAUCGACCGUACUGCCAAUCAUCUCGCCCACACAUCCGGUUUAAGCAAUGUUGAAGAAGUGCAAAGUCUGGGCGUGCUUAUCUUGGCUAUGAGGACCGUUGGGAGCUACAGGAAACAAAGGGAAUAUCCCUUAGGAUCAGAGUGGUCCAAGAGACAGGCUGGAAAGAGAAAAGCACUUUACCUUUCCAGCCACCUUUCCACACGAGUCCAUCUUAGCCUUUCAUUCAAAAACGGAUCAAUCCCACCUUCCAUUCAGUCAAGGCACGACCACACUUUCCAGCUAGCAUCAAGACCAGUCUACUCUCAUCCUAGCCAUUCAAUCUAUCAUUUAUUUACAGCCUUAGGAUGUAGGGUUUAUGAGUGUAAUGUAAAGGCAUAUAAAAGCCUUGUAUAUGUGAUUGUAAACACUUAAGUGAGUUAGGGGGAAACCCUUCUCCUUCAUAUUCUGGUUACUAAUCUCUCAAUCUCUAAGUCUCUUGUUCUUGUUCUUAGUCUCUCAUACUCAUAUAAUCUGUCUCCUUAAUCCCUCUAUUAAAUCGCCAUAAACAAAUCCUUAUCUCUCUCCAUUGGAGUUGUUUCACACACAAACACAACCAGAGAUGAGAACUCUAUAAAUCUCACAUGGUAUCAGAGCCAGGUUCAUCAGAACCUGAGCUGUAGCUUCCGCACAACACAAGCUCUACCCUCAGCUCAAAUCCAAUCCUUGAAGACAUUCCCAUCCGAGUUCAGUUUCUCCAUGAGAAGAAGACUGAAGGGUGUGUCUCUCAUUCUUUCUCCUGUCUAUACUGAUGGAGAGACUCAUUGGAAGCAGAAGUGUAUGGAGAGGACUCACGAACCUCAUCCAAGGCGCCUCCUCCAAGAGCUUUCUUCACCCGGGUCAUCAUGAAAGCUGUCAAGAUGAUGGCGCCUAGAAGACUUGAAGAAAGGAGGAGUCUUUGAGUUGGAGAAACAAGAAGGUGGCCAUGAACUGAAGGAGUAGGAGGUGGGUGACUAUCCAGACUCUCAGAUUCAACAAAAGCCAUGGCCAGUCCCCUUGGAGGUUUAAGGAACCAACCUGGUUCCUUGUGUAAGCGAUUUUAAAACCCUCUUGAUAAUGAGCUUGUGUUGUUGACUGGUUGUAAUGUGUGAUGUGAUUGAAAACCUGAGGACUGUUAAAGAUUGAUAAAUUAAAAUGUUUAGAAUCUGUCCCAGGAUACUUUAAGAGCUUUGUUUGGUGACUGAAUGUGAUUAAUAUGCUUAGCUUCGUUUCAUAGUGAUGCUUAGAGUGAUUAACUGAAUCUGCUUGCAUACAUGGAUUGAAACUGAAUUUAAAGCUGUUGCAUAUAGUCUUGUGGCUGUCUUACAUUGAAGCAUUAGAUUCAUGUCUAAAGUGCUGAGUAAAGAAGCUUUUAAAAGUGCCUAAGUAACUUGUCUUGAAUCUGUUAGGAUCUUGCUUGUUCUUAGAGAGCUAGCUUGCAAAGAAUAGAACUUGAUAAUGCCUUGUGUCUAUCUGUUGCAUUGCUUGUGAGAUUGGGAAUCAAACCUGAUGAUUAAUCAAGGAUUGAUCCCAAUACUCUUGUGUCUUAUCCUUGCUGGAGUUUGAGUGGUGUUUCAGGUUCACAAGAAGUGUUCUCUGCUCACCACCUAUCCAAGAAAAGAGGAAGACUUGAACCAUUGUGUGGAGCAAUGGGAAGAUACUUGUGUGUAGAAGCUGGUUUAAGAAGCGCAGGCCACGAGGUUGUUGAGCUCCUGGUUCAAGACAUACAAGCGGAAGACCAACCAUUGUGUGGAGCAAUGGGAAGGUUCUUGUGUGUAGAAGCCGGUUUAAGAAGCGCAGGCCACGAGGUUGUUGAGCUCCUGGUUCAAGGCACACAAGAAGAAGAAGGUCACCACCUAUGCCAUGAGGAAGGCCGGUGAUCUGAGAGUACUUGAAGCUUAAAGCAAAAGGAUGGAUCAGUGAUUUAAGCGCAGCUGUUAGGGUGAUGUGCUCCUGGUCUUGAAGUUCCUCCUUAUCAUUACAAUAGAAUGGUAAAAUGAAGCCUGUUGCCAACAUUCUGUGGGAAGUCCACAGCCUGCUCCAAAGAGGGUAGAGAGGAUGUUGUGACAAUGGAGAGAUGACUUAUGGUUCUGUCCAUGGUGGUUUAGUCACCAUAGCCUACGCAUCAGAUGAGUGUAGAGAGGACAGUCGACAUGCAAAGAAAGAGCAUCACCAGGAGGGUGAUGCAAUGUAAACCAAGACCAUUGCAAGCUGAUCAUGGAGUGAUCCAGCCGAAGAGUGAAGCAUUGGAGAGUGAGCAUUGCAAGAGGGAUGGGCACACCAAGGAAAGGUGUUGGAUACUGAAUCCAAGUAUCAAGUUCAUGCCAAGUUCAAGUGAACCGUGCCCAUGGAGGUUCAAGAGAUCAGCUCGGAUCUCUUGUUUGUAAGCAAACCUCUUAACCCUUAAUAAGAGCUUGUGUCUUUAUUUAUUGUGCUGUGAGUGGUGUCUAGAGUCCCAGAAUCUCAUGUUUUGUUUAUUGCAUUGUCUUGAGUGUUGUCAUAGCUUGAAUCAUCAUGAAUGUGUUGUAGAAUUGAGUAGAAUGUCUCUGCUGCUUGCAUCAUGAUUGAUAAGUUCUUUUGCAUACAUAAGCAUAUCUCAUACUGUCUAAGUUCAAUCCUAGUGUUAUCUGAUGCUAUUGCCUAUGUUUAAUCCAUCAAUGAAAGUCUUGCAUCAAUUAGAAAUUGUCUAAGUUGCUUGCAUCAUUGGUUCUGAUUGAAACUGUUGUGCAGAGCUUUAAUAUUACUCAUGGAUUGAACCCGUUGCAUUCAUAUAGCUAAUGCUUUAAGAUUGUGCAUUCAUGUAGUAAUGCAUUUAAAAAUGAGCCUAAAUUGCAAAUGUCCUGAUAUAAGCUUUGCAUUUAGAGAACUGUAUAGAACUUGCAUUGUCAUUGUUAGAAAUUGAAAUCUGCUUGUCUCGACUCAAUCCAGUUCUGAUUGUUGCUAUGCCAUAGUUAAAUCCAUCAGUGAUGUCUUAUAAGCAUUUAGAAGUAUGUCUAAGCUACUUGAAUCAUUGGCCUUGAUAAAACUAGUGAGCAUAAGCAUGAAUUGAGUCACUCUUGUCGCCUUAAUUGCAGAAGUAUCAUCUAGACUUGUGUUCCAUUUUGGAUUGAAUCUGUUUCAUUCAUAUAGUUAGUGUAACCUAAUGCAUUCAUCUAUUGUUGCAUUUAAAAAAAAAAAAUGAAUUGAUUGUCUUUGCUAGAUUGUCUUGAUUGUCUAGCUUGUUUCAAGUAUCAUAUAUUAUUGUGGCAUUGGUGAUCAAACAGGAUGGAUGAUCUUGGUUUGAUCCCAAUGGGAUGAUCUGAUCUUGCAUUGAGUUGUGGUGGUGUUAGGUACACAAGGAAUGUGAUACAUGAAACUCGCCAACAACCAAGAAUGUAAAGACAAAGAUCUUGUGCCAUUGCAUAUCAUCACUAGGACAUGUUAGUCCAUAAUCUACAGGAAGUGUAGUGUGAUUGAGUAUGCAAUGAGAGAUGGCCAUUGCAUAAUACCAUUGGACAUAUCUAGUCCUUAGUCUACAGGAAGUGUAGCAUGGGUCAUUAUGCAAUGAGAGGUGUGUCUUGUGAGACUCUCUAUGGUGAUUCAAACACCCUAGUUCCUGGUUAAGGAAGAGAGUAAACUCACAAGAAGAAAGCUAUCAUGAAAGAUGAUAGUUAUUAGACCAUGGAGAUGCAUAGGAUCAUCACAAGCUUAGCUCCUUCUAGUCUCGGUUCUAAGCUUGAGGGGGAGUCUUAAUGCAUAUGAUCCAUGGUCAGUAACAAGUCUUUGCAAAGGCUUCUACAAAGGUCAUCAACCGGACCAAGUCAGUGGCGUGUCUAGGUAAGAGGCUGUUCAGAGCAGUCUUGGCGAGUGAGGAAGAAGGCUCUCCAUCAAUGCGGCUUCAAUGAGAGGUGAUUGAGGAGAAGCUGAUGAAUCCAUUCUGCCUUUCCAAGAAGUUGAUGAUGCCAUGAAGAUGGUGCAUUGGCCGAGUUAGGAAACUCACAAAAACACAAGGGAAGUUCCCUUAGACUUUUAAAACCUUUUUCAAUCUUUUUCAUUCAUCUUAUUCAUUGCUUGUGCUUGAAAAGAUACUUAAGAUGAUUAUGAUUGAAUUGUGAGAUUGUGUGCAUCAAGUGUGAUGCAGGAUAUUCAUUUUCUUGUUUUUGAUAGGUACUGAUGCACCUUUGGGAUAAUGUAUCAGGUACCAUUGCUUGAGCCUCACUAAAGGUGUUCCUGGUCAUUUCCUAGCUUCUCUAAGGUGGCUGUGAAGUCUGUUGAGAGGGGGAGACCCUAAACCUAGUCUACGAAGAGGGCAAGCCGGGUGUGAAGUAUUGAUCAGCCUCACUAGUGUUUUGAAGAUGAUCUGGUCGUGUCCUAGCUUCUCUAAGAUGGCUGAGAAGUCAGUUGAGAGGGGGAGACUUCAAACCGGUUCCAUGAAGAGGUGAAGCUGAAGUGUGAAGUGUGAAGUGUGCGCAAAGCUGUGAAGAGUUGCUGCACCUGUUAGGCCGUGAUCCAGAGCUUCUUGUGUCCAAUAGGGCGAGUGGUACGGACAGGAGGUCCGUACCAUCGACCGUACUGCCAAUCAUCUCGCCCACACAUCCGGUUUAAGCAAUGUUGAAGAAGUGCAAAGUCUGGGCGUGCUUAUCUUGGCUAUGAGGACCGUUGGGAGCUACAGGAAACAAAGGGAAUAUCCCUUAGGAUCAGAGUGGUCCAAGAGACAGGCUGGAAAGAGAAAAGCACUUUACCUUUCCAGCCACCUUUCCACACGAGUCCAUCUUAGCCUUUCAUUCAAAAACGGAUCAAUCCCACCUUCCAUUCAGUCAAGGCACGACCACACUUUCCAGCUAGCAUCAAGACCUGUCUACUCUCAUCCUAGCCAUUCAAUCUAUCAUUUAUUUACAGCCUUAGGAUGUAGGGUUUAUGAGUGUAAUGUAAAGGCAUAUAAAAUCCUUGUAUAUGUGAUUGUAAACACUUAAGUGAGUUAGGGGGAAACCCUUCUCCUUCAUAUUCUGGUUACUAAUCUCUCAGUCUCUAAGUCUCUUGUUCUUGUUCUUAGUCUCUCAUACUCAUAUAAUCUGUCUCCUUAAUCCCUCUAUUAAAUCGCCAUAAACAAAUCCUUAUCUCUCUCCAUUGGAGUUGUUUCACAUACAAACACAACCAGAGAUGAGAACUCUACAAAUCUCACACAUCUCAUCAGCUCUUAAACCGUGGGAGCAUAAACGGUAAGCUGAUAAUUUUUGCUUGAGAGACCAUAUCCUUGUGCAGAAAUGUAGAGCUAUGAGAUGUGCUAAUCUAAGACAUUGAUUAAGCAGGAACAAAUUUUCAAAUAACCA
rnacentral:lncRNA from 1 species